AGAGAGAGACAUGCGCGCAUAUCAAUAAGCGGAGGAAAAGAAACUAACAAGGAUUCCCUUAGUAACGGCGAGUGAAGCGGGAAGAGCUCAAAUUUGAAAUCUUCAAGGUUUUACCUUGACGAAUUGUAGUUUAAAGAAGUGUUUUCUGCUGAAGUUUUGGUAAAAGUUCUUUGGAAUAGGACAUCAUAGAGGGUGAGAAUCCCGUAUUUGACCAUUAUUUUCAGCUUUGUGAUACACUAUUCAAAGAGUCGGAUUGUUUGGGAAUGCAGUCCAAAAUGGGUGGUAAAUUUCAUCUAAAGCUAAAUAUUGGCGAGAGACCGAUAGCGAACAAGUACCGUGAGGGAAAGAUGAAAAGAACUUUGAAAAGAGAGUUAAACAGUACGUGAAAUUGUCAAAAGGGAGGCGUUUGACACCAGUGUUGUUUUCUCGAAAAUCAAUUAAAAAUGGCUCGAUCUUGUAUUGCUUGAGACCUUAAAAGCUCACUGUACAUUUUUCGUGUCUUUUUUAAUGCACUUCUCGUUUAACAAGUCAACAUCAGUUUCUUUUGUUGUAAAAGGGUCAUUGGAAGGUGGCUUUCUUUUCGGAGAAAGUGUUUAUAGCCUUUGGCCUCUGCAAUCGGAGAGACUGAGGUCUGCAGCGUAGACUCUUCGGGGUUAGAUACAUUUGUGCUAAGUUAUAGCUUUUUAUAGACAACUUGUUGACUAUAAUUAGUCUUGUAGCUUACUCGCUUAUGCUAUUUUACCUACGCUUAGGAUGUUGAGUCGUAGAGCACGCAG
rnacentral:rRNA from 1 species